rnacentral:rRNA from 1 species
UCGAGAAUUUUUCACAAUGGGCGCAAGCCUGAUGGAGCGACGCCGCGUGGGGGAUGAAUGGCUUCGGCCCGUAAACCCCUGUCAUUUGCGAUCAAACCUUGCUAUUUAAAAGAUGGCGAGCUGAUAGUAGCGAAAGAGGAAGGGACGGCUAACUCUGUGCCAGCAGCCGCGGUAAUACAGAGGUCCCAAGCGUUGUUCGGAUUCACUGGGCGUAAAGGGUGCGUAGGUGGUGGGGUAAGUCGGAUGUGAAAUCUCGGAGCUCAACUCCGAAAUGGCAUUGGAAACUACCCUGCUAGAGGGUCGGAGGAGGGACUGGAAUUCUCGGUGUAGCAGUGAAAUGCGUAGAUAUCGAGAGGAACACCAGUGGCGAAGGCGAGUCCCUGGACGACUCCUGACACUGAGGCACGAAAGCUAGGGGAGCAAACA